rnacentral:rRNA from 1 species
AACGAACGCUGGCGGCAUGCCUAACACAUGCAAGUCGAACGAGACCUUCGGGUCUAGUGGCGCACGGGUGCGUAACGCGUGGGAACCUGCCUUUAGGUUCGGAAUAACUCAGAGAAAUUUGAGCUAAUACCGGAUAAUGUCUUCGGACCAAAGAUUUAUCGCCUUUAGAUGGGCCCGCGUAAGAUUAGCUAGUUGGUGGGUAAAGGCCUACCAAGGCGACGAUCUUUAGCUGGUCUGAGAGGAUGAUCAGCCACACUGGGACUGAGACACGGCCCAGACUCCUACGGGAGGCAGCAGUGGGGAAUAUUGGACAAUGGGCGAAAGCCUGAUCCAGCAAUGCCGCGUGAGUGAUGAAGGCCUUAGGGUUGUAAAGCUCUUUUACCCGGGUAUGAUAAUGACAGUACCGGGAGAAUAAGCCCCGGCUAACUCCGUGCCAGCAGCCGCGGUAAU